AACCAAUGGCCUCCUGAAGUGUUGCACCCUUGGGAUUUCCUGAGAGUAUGUCUGCUUCAGUGCUUAA
rnacentral:rRNA from 1 species